GUAAAUGGUUUACUCUGCCCCUGUGCCCCAUGUAACAGUUUUGAGAGCGACCACUUUUUCUGCAUCUGACCUUCAUUUAUCCGGUUGUUUAUUCACCCAGGACUACACACAUUCCAGCUUGGCAGCAGGGAUGUGGGAACGGUUGAUGAUGGAUUAACAAAGGAAGACAUUGGGAUUGGUUUAAAGCCAGAAGAUGAACUUUGUGAUUUGGACAGUCCGUUGCUGACUACCUGACAGUUAACUUGCUCACCUUAUGCCGUCGCUCGACUCACUGCCUCUUCAGGGUCAAGAUAUCCUCAGAACUGUAUCCAGCUCGGGAUGGAGGUGGGUUGAGGUCACACUGCCCCAUAUAUCUCAAGUUCAUCACAGUAGUGCAGAAUUCUUCCCAAAGAAUCCGGCAUUUCCCAAAGCAGACAGCACACAUGGACAGCUUUCUUCUGCUCAUUAACACCGAACAGACCUGAGUUCGCUAACAGGACUGAACACGGUUCAUGGCAAAUGAAGCACGCUGCAAGCCGUGUGUGUGUGUAGUGUGAGCGAGAGUCAUUGGUGUAUGUGUGGGUGUGUGGAGAGAGAGAGAGAGACACAUAGACUGAGCCCCUAACACGGAGCAUGCCUCUGCGUCCGGCAGCCGGCAAACAUGAGCCACCCAGCCCUCCAUGGCAGGACCAGCAGCAGCAGC
rnacentral:lncRNA from 1 species